rfam:Triticum urartu cultivar G1812 contig529662, whole genome shotgun sequence.
CAUGUACUCCCUCCGUUCCAAAUUACUCGUCGCAGAAAUGGAUGUAUCUAGAACUAAAAUACAUCUAGAUACAUCCAUACUUGCGACAAGUAAUUCGGAACAUGGAAGGAGAAGAGA